AACGAACGCUGGCGGCAGGCUUAACACAUGCAAGUCGAACGCCCCGCCCGGGGAGUGGCUGACGGGUGGGUAACGCGUGGGAACAUACCCUUUUCUACGGACUAGCGCUGGGAAAUUGGAAUUAAUACGGUAUACGCCUUCCGGGGGAAAGAUUUUUCGGGGUGGGAUUGGCGCGCGUGUUAUUUCCGCGUUGGUGGGGUAAGGGCCCUCCAAGGCGACGAUCCAUAGCUUGGCUGAGAGGGGGAUCGGCCACACUGGGACUGAGACACGGCCCCAACACCUACGGGGGAGAGGAGUGGGGGAUAUUUUGGAAAGGGGGGAAGACCGACGCAGCGACGCCGCGGGGGGGAGGACGGCCUUCGGGUUUUAAAACUCUUUUGACCCGGACAAAUUAGGACGGUAGGGGGAGAAGAAGCCCCGGCCAACUACGUG
rnacentral:rRNA from 1 species